UAACGGAAUACGCCCGUAGGGAAACGUGGAAGUAAUACCGUAUGACGCCCGAGGAGGGAAAGAUUUUAUCGGCAAAAGGAUCGGCCCGCGUUGGAUUAGGUAGUUGGUGGGGUAAUGGCCUACCAAGCCGACGAUCCAUAGCUGGUUUGAGAGGAUGAUCAGCCACACUGGGACUGAGACACGGCCCAGACUCCUACGGGAGGCAGCAGUGGGGAAUCUUAGACAAUGGGGAAACCCUGAUCUAGCCAUGCCGCGUGAUCGAUGAAGGCCUUAGGGUUGUAAAGAUCUUUCAGGUGGGAAGAUAAUGACUGUACCACCAGAAGAAGCCCCGGCUAACUCCGUG
rnacentral:rRNA from 1 species